UACGUAGGGUGCAAGCGUUAAUCGGAAUUACUGGGCGUAAAGCGUGCGCAGGCGGUUAUGCAAGACAGAUGUGAAAUCCCCGGGCUUAACCUGGGAACCGCAUUUGUGACUGCAUAGCUGGAGUACGGCAGAGGGGGAUGGAAUUCCGCGUGUAGCAGUGAAAUGCGUAGAUAUGCGGAGGAACACCGAUGGCGAAGGCAGUCCCCUGGGCCUGUACUGACGCUCAGGCACGAAAGCGUGGGGAGCAAAAGGG
rnacentral:rRNA from 1 species